ACCUGGGUGGCUCAGUCGGUUGAGCGUCUGACUUCAGCUCAGGUCAUGAUCUCACAGUUCGUGAGUUCGAGCCCCACAUUGGGCU
rnacentral:tRNA from 1 species